AUCCUUUAUGAGGAUCAAGUGGAGGGCAAGUCUGGUGCCAGCAGCCGCGGUAAUUCCAGCUCCACUAGCGUAUGUUAAAAUUGUUGCGGUUAAAACGUUCGAAGUUGAUUAUUGUCCAGUGCGGGUGUGACAUCAUCAAGAAAUGAUUGUCAUCACUUUCC
rnacentral:rRNA from 1 species